AACGAACGCUGGCGGCAUGCCUAACACAUGCAAGUCGAACGAGACCUUCGGGUCUAGUGGCGCACGGGUGCGUAACGCGUGGGAACCUGCCCUUAGGUUCGGAAUAACUCCCCGAAAGGGGUGCUAAUACCGGAUAAUGUCUUCGGACCAAAGAUUUAUCGCCUUUGGAUGGGCCCGCGUUGGAUUAGCUAGUUGGUAGGGUAAAAGCCUACCAAGGUGACGAUCCAUAGCUGGUCUGAGAGGAUGAUCAGCCACACUGGGACUGAGACACGGCCCAGACUCCUACGGGAAGCAGCAGUGGGGAAUAUUGGACAAUGGGCGAAAGCCUGAUCCAGCAAUGCCGCGUGAGUGAUGAAGGCCUUAGGGUUGUAAAGCUCUUUUACCCGGGAUGAUAAUGACAGUACCGGGAGAAUAAGCUCCGGCUAACUCCGUG
rnacentral:rRNA from 1 species